rnacentral:rRNA from 1 species
CCUACGGGAGGCAGCAGUGAGGAAUAUUGGUCAAUGGCCGGAAGGCUGAACCAGCCAUGCCGCUUGCACUUCCUUUCCCUCUUUUCUUUCCCCUUCUUUUUUUCUUUCUCCCUCCUUUUCACUUGUUGCCAGACGAGAGUACCGUACGAAUAAGCAUCGGCUAACUCCGUGCCAGCAGCCUCGGUAAUACGUUUUAUGCAAUCGUUAUCCGGAUUUAUUGGGUUUAAAGGGUGCGUAGGCUGUGAGGUAAGUCAGCGGUGAAAUGCCCCCGCUCAACGGGGUGAAGUGCCAUUGAUCCUGCCUUGCUGGAAUGCGGAUGCCGUGGGAGGAAUGUGUGGUGUAGCGGUGAAAUGCAUAGAUAUCACAAAGAACACCGAUUGCGAAGGCAUCACACGAAUCCGCGAUUGACGCUGAUGCACGAAAGCGUGGGUAUCAAACAGGAGUAGAGAAAAGAGUAGUC